rnacentral:rRNA from 1 species
UACGUAGGUGGCAAGCGUUGUCCGGAUUUACUGGGCGUAAAGAGCGCGCAGGCGGCUGGUCAAGUCCGAUGUGAAAUCUCCCGGCUCAACUGGGAAACUGCAUCGGAAACUGAUCGGCUUGAAGGUGGGAGAGGGUAGUGGAAUUCCCGGUGUAGUGGUGAAAUGCGUAGAUAUCGGAAGGAACAUCAGUGGCGAAAGCGACUUCCUGGACCAAUACUGACGCUCAUGUGCGAAAGCGUGGGGAGCAAACAGG